CCACAAGCAGGCUAAACCUUCCAGCUGUGACCUUCAGUUGACCUCUGAAGUUUCGAGGCUAUAAUAUUUGUAGUGGCUGACAUGGAAAUGACUCCAUCUAAAUAUUGUUCAUCAUCUAGUAAUGGGAUGAUGAAAACAAAUUGAUGGAAGUUGCAGGGGCCAUGAAAGUUGAAAAAGAGGCUUUCUCUAAGUUUUUCAGGGUCCUUCCCAAAGCACUGGUAUCACAAAUGGGAUCAGCAUAUGGCUCCCAGGCUGUCUACUUUGAAGGAAGUUGACUAUACAAUUUCUUCUGUGUUUCUUCUACGUUUAUUUUAACAAAUCAACUUACGAUUACAUUUUGUGUGGUAGAACCCGAGGCCUGGCAAUCUUUCAGAUGCAGAAUGCCAAAAGAUGAAUCUGGAGGCUACCAGAAGGCUGAAGAGGUUGGCUAGAAUAAAGCCUCUGCUGGAAGGUGCUGAAAGGAAUUCUUGUCUGGAGACCCUAACAAGAGAAGGAAGAGAUCUUCGCUAAAAUCUGAGGCUCCCAAGGAAUGACAUUAGAGUGCCUCCAUGACAGGGCUGUGGGGACACGAUGUUUGCAGAGCUUUGUUUGAUUUGGAAUUUUAAAGCUCAGUAAGGAAUUAAGGUAAGUGCAAGGACAGAGCUAUUAAGGAAAUUGAAAAGGAACAGAAAGUUCUGGAAUGUGGCAGCUCCUGUUUGAUUUUAAAUGAUUUUGCAGGAAAGAGAGAAGUCAGCUUUCAAAAAGCUAAGCUAAUACGGGGAAAACAAGAAGCAUCUGAAGAUCUUCUCUUCUCUGAAUUCUUUCCUGCUGGAGGUUCCCUCAAGCAAAUAGGUGCGAUGAUGCUGUUGACUUGUAAACAGAAGUCAAAAGGAAAUUCAAGCUUCUGUUAUGAUUUAUUCCAAAUAUAAUAAAAAAGGGAGUGAUUGAAUCCCUUUUAAAACUU
rnacentral:lncRNA from 1 species